GCAGCUUAAGCCAUGCAUGUCUAAGUGUAAAUGCUUUAUAGUGAAACUGCGAAUGGCUCAUUAAAACAGUAAUUGUUUGCUUGGAAACAAUCCGACUUUCGGAUACCUGCGGCAAUUCUACAGCUAAUACGUGACGGCUUUUUCGGAAGCGGUGCAUGUUAAUUAGGACAAUCGGUAGAGGUUACUUUACCUUGAAAGAACACCUUCAUGCGUGAAUCGUGUUACGAUACGAAUGUCCAUCGAAGUUUCUGACCUAUCAGGCUCCGACGGUUGGGAAUUGGCCAACUGUGCCUAUAACGGGUGACGGGGGAUUAGGGUUUGACUCCGGAGAGGGAGCAUGAGAGAUGGCUACCACAUCUAAGGAAGGCAGCAGGCGCGCAAAUUACCUAUCUUUAACACGGAGAGGUAGUAAACAGAAAUAAUGACGCGCGAUCUUUAUUGUGCGAUCGGAAUGGAUAGCUUGUAAACAAGGCUAUGAAAUCAACUAGAGGGCAAGUCUGGUGCCAGCAGCCGCGGUAAUUCCAGCUCUAAUAGCCUAUAUUAAAGUUGUUGCAGUUAAAACGUUCGUAGUCUACCUCUGUCUGCGCGGUUGAUUGGGGGCCUAUGGCGUUCCAAGCAUUUCCGACAGAGAGUAUGCAGCUUUCGCCGGGCAUGCUUCAUGUACGGACGCAGGUUGCAUUGUACUUUGAGUGAAUCGACGUGUUUCACGCAGAUUAAUGUCUUGGACGAUCUACCAUGGUAUAAAAAUAGUUUGAAUAUGCCACGUUGGUUGUUUCGAGGUGCAUUCUACUGCCAAAAGAACGGUUGAGGGCAUUCGUAUUCAACUGCCAGAGGUGAAAUUCUUUGAUUAGUUGAGGACGACCUACUGCGAAAGCAUUUGCCAAAGACCUUUCUUCUGAUCAAGAACGAAAGUUAGGUGACCGAAGAUGAUUAGAUACCGUCGUAGUCGUAACUAUAAACGUUGCUAACCGAGCGCCGGUGUGGUUUUACUAUGCUAUUUCGGAACUUUUUGAGAAAUCAUGAGUCUCUAAGUUCUGGGGGGAGUACAGUUGCAAGGCCGAAA
rnacentral:rRNA from 1 species